AUGAUGGGCCUGUGCGGCAGAGGCUGGAGUCGGUAGCCAGUGAGGUAUCCAAAGCUGUGGACAAGGAGCUUCAGGUGAUCCUGGAGUCCAUGGUCAGCCUAACACAGGAAUUAUGCCCCGUGGCCAUGCGGGUGGCAGAGGGACACAACAAGAUGCUGAGCAACGUGGCGGAACGCGUCACCGUGCCCCGGAACUUCAUCCGCGGAGCGCUGCUGGAGCAGGCGGGACAAGACAUUCAGAACAAGCUGGAGUGAGAGCGGGGCAUGGGCGCAGGAGGCUGGAUUUGGCCCAGAGCACUUAGGGAGUUUGGAACUAUCAGCCAUGAAUAAUGAAUGGAGAGCCUUCCAUUACAAGGGAUAAAUCUUUAACUAUUGCAGCCAUGCU
rnacentral:lncRNA from 1 species